rnacentral:pre_miRNA from 1 species
CAGGUACUCCCUCCGUCCGGAAAUACUUGUUCUAAGAAUGGAUGAAUCUAGACUUAUUUUAAUUAUAGAUACAUCUAAUAUAUUCAUUUUGAAGAUAAGUAUUUCCGGACGGAGGGAGUAUUAG